ACGUCACGGCCAGUUGCUCUCAGCUCGAUUGUCGCAAUCUUGUAUUCUACCAUUCUUGACCAUUCGCGAAUGUCAAGUGCUGGUAAGCAAAGUGCUACGUUCGGUCGGUCGUCUAACAGACGAACUUGAAGACGAGAUGCAAAUAGAGAUCGCUGCAACGUUGCCCUUGGCAAUUGACGCAGCUAAAGAUAUCGAAGAAAAGCUGGAAAAACAGGAAUACUUCGAAUCAAUGAAAAUCUACUUGUUCCAAAUGAAAGGAAGCAACGGAACGGUGGAUGACGUUUUCCGAAGGGUCAUGACCGAGGAACUAGCCUUUUUAUUCAAUUUUGAUGGAAGGAGAAGAACGCGUUAACAAAAUUGAAACUAAUUAACCAAGUUUUAAGCGAGGUUUUCGCAACUGAAGGUUGAAAAGGCGUCAAGGAAAAGCAUUGAGUUGAGUCACAAUCGCUUUCACCAAAAGACAUUUUUAAUAAAAAAUAAAAAUGUUGCAUAAAUGUGUAGAAAAAAAUGUAAAUAUUAGUGUAAGAAAAUUAACCUGCAUACACCAGUUUGGGCAAUUUUGUUUGUUUGUUUAAAGUUAUAUAUAUAUAUAUAUACAUGUAUG